ACAUACAGCUGUUCCUGCCGUUGGGAUUUCCCCCACAUGGCACAUGAUUCGAUUUCUCGCCUAACCGAGAGCUUUUGAAUCAAACCUUUCCCUGUAUUUCUAUGCAGGAGGUCGACUUUAAAAGUACUUUAAAUUCCUUUUGAUCCUACUGGGAUCAUCUCCCGAUGAUUAUCACGUACUCCGCUGUUGUUUUGGUCGAACAAAGCGUCGGACAGAGCCCAGAGACUUUGGGGUUCUCCUGUUCCUUGUUGCCUGAGGGACCCGCGCCGCCCGAAUCGCUGCUGGGGCUACAGAUCCACAGGUAUGUGGUUCUGUGCAGUGGAAGUCUGUUCUCACCUCUCUCCAGCAGAGUGUGACAGGUGGAUGCCAGCUGCAUGAGUUUUCCACCCCCACCAAUUAGGAGGAGCAUUUAAGGUGGCCGGAUAAGGAUGGAAGGUACACCACGCUGAAACCUGGCAUCCAGUAUUCCUCCAGAAGAUCACCCUUACAAUAAUCAAUUUCGAGUUUCAAGAGCCUUCCUGGCACUCAAGUUCACCUCUGCUCCUCCGGUCCCACCAACGUCCUCUGCUACCAAAACCACCCGGCCUGUCCAAAUUCCAGCCACACUUUCACACAGACCACCAACGUGUACCGCAACCUGCCUCAUCACCUUCGACUCUCCACAAACCAGCUUCUCCGUAAGGCAGUGUUGGUCACACCAUCUUGCCGGUGCUCACUCCUGCCCACUCUGUCUCCCACAGUCUGCAACCAGAGGCUACAGUCGUAAAGUCUCCAGUCUCACUUCACUUCCAUCCCAUUACCAAAAACUUCAA